GGCCCAGUAGCUCAGUUGGAUAGAGCAACGGCCUUCUAAGCCGUAGGUCGCAGGUUCGAAUCCUGCCUGGGUCG
rnacentral:tRNA from 1 species